rnacentral:rRNA from 1 species
AACGAACGCUGGCGGCAGGCUUAACACAUGCAAGUCGAACGCGUGUAGCAAUACACGAGUGGCGCACGGGUGAGUAACGCGUGGAUAUCUGCCUUUUGGGUUCGGAAUAACCCCGGGAAACUGGGGCUAAUACCGGAUGGUUCCUUCGGGAUAAAGAUUUAUCGCCAAAAGAUGAGUCCGCGUCCGAUUAGCUAGUUGGUGAGGUAAUGGCUCACCAAGGCGACGAUCGGUAGCU